rnacentral:rRNA from 1 species
GGAAAAGAAACCAACAGGGAUUGCCCCAGUAACGGCGAGUGAAGCGGCAACAGCUCAAAUUUGAAAUCUGGCCCCAGGUCCGAGUUGUACUUUGCAGAGGAUGCUUCGGGCGCGGUGCCUUUCAAGUCCCCUGGAACGGGACGCCUUAGAGGGUGAGAGCCCCGUGCGGUCGGCCGCCGAGCCCGUGUGAAGCUCCUUCGACGAGUCGAGUAGUUUGGGAAUGCUGCUCUAAAUGGGAGGUAGACCCCUUCUAAAGCUAAAUACCGGCCAGAGACCGAUAGCGCACAAGUAGAGUGAUCGAAAGAUGAAAAGCACUUUGAAAAGAGGGUUAAACAGCACGUGAAAUUGUUGAAGGGGAAGCGCUCGUGACCAGACUUGCGCCGGGGCGAUCAUCCGGCGUUCUCACCGGUGCACUCGCCACGGCUCAGGCCAGCGUCGGUUCGGAUAGGGGGAUAAAGGCGCCGGGAAUGUGGCUCCCUCGGGAGUGUUAUAGCCCGGCGCGCCAUGCCCCCGGCCGGACCGAGGUCCGCGCCCUGCAAGGACGCUGGCAUAAUGGUCACCAGCGGCCCGUCUUGAAACACGGACCAAGGAGUCGAGGUUGUGCGCGAGUGUGUGGGUGCCAAACCCGCACGCGUAAUGAAAGUGAACGCAGGUGAGAGCUUCGGCGCAUCAUCGACCGAUCCUGAUGUCUUCGGAUGGAUUUGAGUAAGAGCAUAGGGCCUCGGACCCGAAAGAUGGUGAACUAUGCUUGGAUAGGGUGAAGCCAGAGGAAACUCUGGUGGAGGCUCGCAGCGGUUCUGACGUGCAAAUCGAUCGUCAAAUCUGCGCAUGGGGGCGAAAG